rnacentral:rRNA from 1 species
GAUGAACGCUGGCGGCGUGCCUAAUACAUGCAAGUCGAGCGAACGGACGAGAAGCUUGCUUCUCUGAUGUUAGCGGCGGAAGGGUGAGUAACACGUGGAUAACCUACCUAUAAGACUGGGAUAACUUCGGGAAACCGGAGCUAAUACCGGAUAAUAUUUUGAACCGCAUGGUUCAAAAGUGAAAGACGGUCUUGCUGUCACUUAUAGAUGGAUCCGCGCUGCAUUAGCUAGUUGGUAAGGUAACGGCUUACCAAGGCAACGAUGCAUAGCCGACCUGAGAGGGUGAUCGGCCACACUGGAACUGAGACACGGUCCAGACUCCUACGGGAGGCAGCAGUAGGGAAUCUUCCGCAAUGGGCGAAAGCCUGACGGAGCAACGCCGCGUGAGUGAUGAAGGUAUUCGGAUCGUAAAACUCUGUUAUUAGGGAAGAACAUAUGUGUAAGUAACUGUGCACAUCUUGACGGUACCUAAUCAGAAAGCCACGGCUAACUACGUG